GUGUCCUGGAGGGGCUGCUGGACUCAGGGGAGGUGCCUUCUUUCUCCAGUUCUCAGUGAAGUCAGUCUUCAUCAAGAGUAAGCACAACAGAAGCACACAGCCUCUUCCAUUUGGACAGCAAGACUGUGGGGCAUUGCAAUGCAGAGAAAUGUCAAAGAGAAUAUCCACCUUUAAAUCACAAACCAUCUAUAGAAGCAGAGGAGAGAGCAAAACAUCCAGCAGCAGAAAUCACUUAGUAACUAUGUAAAGUGAGACUCGAUGAUAGAAGUAGAAGUAAUCCUGGCAUUCUAAACCAAUAAAGAGAAGAGGAAAUGGCAAUUGAAGCUAUUCCUUUGGAUCCAGAGAUGGAAGCCACAGGUUAAGGAUGGCAGACCUCCCAACCUUCCUGACUGUUCGGUGAGAGGGAAAGACACAUUUCUCUUACUUAAGCCUCUGGAUUUUGGAUCUCUGUUAUACCAAC
rnacentral:lncRNA from 1 species